GCGUAUUUCAGUAUGUGGCGUGCUGGGUCAGGCCCACGUAUAUAAGACGGCGACAGAGGACGGCUGAAGUAUCAUUCGCACUGCACGACAUGGCGAAACUACUGGCCGUCUUCCUGGUGCUGCUGAUUGCUGCCCUGGUCUGCGAACAGGCUCUAGCCUGCACGCCGGGCUCCCGCAAGUACGACGGCUGCAACUGGUGCACGUGCUCCAGUGGCGGCGCCUGGACCUGCACUCUCAAGUACUGCCCGCCCUCCAGCGGUGGUGGUCUUACAUUCGCGUGACCUGUAUCCCGUGGCCAGGUCGGCUGCUGCUGAAGACUCGACCCGGAAAAGUGUUCUGCUGCUUCAUAAAUGUUGAAAUUUGAAUGUAUGUGCAGCGAACGUACUCAAAAUGGCUACGAAUAAAGCUUGAAAUACUCAA